GACGAACGCUGGCGGCGUGCUUAACACAUGCAAGUCGAACGGAAAGGCCCUGCUUUUGUGGGGUGCUCGAGUGGCGAACGGGUGAGUAACACGUGAGUAACCUGCCCUUGACUUUGGGAUAACUUCAGGAAACUGGGGCUAAUACCGGAUAGGAGCUCCUGCUGCAUGGUGGGGGUUGGAAAGUUUCGGCGGUUGUGGAUGGACUGGCGGCUUAUCAGCUUGUUGGUGGGGUAGUGGCUUACCAAGGCUUUGACGGGUAGCCGGCCUGAGAGGGUGACCGGCCACAUUGGGACUGAGAUACGGCCCAGACUCCUAUGGGAGGCAGCAGUGGGGAAUAUUGCACAGUGGGCGGAAGCCUGAUGCAGCAACGCCGCGUGCGGGAUGACGGCCUUCGGGUUGUAAACCGCUUUCGCCUGUGACGAAGCGUGAGUGACGGUAAUGGGUAAAGAAGCACCGGCUAACUACGUG
rnacentral:rRNA from 1 species